ACUUAAAUUGAAGAGUUUGAUCAUGGCUCAGAUUGAACGCUGGCGGCAGGCCUAACACAUGCAAGUCGAGCGGUAGCACAGAGAGCUUGCUCUCGGGUGACGAGCGGCGGACGGGUGAGUAAUGUCUGGGAAACUGCCUGAUGGAGGGGGAUAACUACUGGAAACGGUAGCUAAUACCGCAUAACGUCGCAAGACCAAAGUGGGGGACCUUCGGGCCUCAUGCCAUCAGAUGUGCCCAGAUGGGAUUAGCUAGUAGGUGGGGUAACGGCUCACCUAGGCGACGAUCCCUAGCUGGUCUGAGAGGAUGACCAGCCACACUGGAACU
rnacentral:rRNA from 1 species